GCGGCCAUAGUUUAGUUGGUUAGAAUGCCUGCCUGUCACGCAGGAGGUCGCGAGUUCGAGUCUCGUUGGCCGCG
rfam:Arcobacter cryaerophilus strain AZT-1 contig046, whole genome shotgun sequence.